rnacentral:rRNA from 1 species
GAGAAUCACUGGGUUUAACGGGUGCGUAGGUGGUCCGUUAAGUCAGUUGUGAAAUCCCCGGGCUCAACCCGGGAACUGCUUCUGAUACUGGCGGACUUGAGGCCAGUAGGGGUCACUAGAACUGACGGUGGAGCGGUGAAAUGCGUAGAUAUCGUCAGGAAUGCCGGUGGUGAAGACGGGUGACUGGGCUGGUUCUGACACUGAGGCACGAAAGCGUGGGGAGCGAACGGG